UCCUAUUUUAUCAGGGCCAGCAUGGAAUAUAUAUACAACAGCAGCAGCAGCACACAUCAAUUCAUCAAUUCGACGUCGUUAAUGAUCUCUACCCAGAAACACACCGACAGCCCUCAUUGAAUUACGCCACGCAAUCAAUCAUGGCUGUUUUUUUUUUUUGCUUCUCCCAGACGAUCUAAUAGAGUCACCCUCCCCAUUUUUCUUUUAUCCACGCCCAUAUAUUUAUUACAUCGCCGGAUAUAAUUAC